rnacentral:rRNA from 1 species
AUUGAACGCUGGCGGAAUGCCUAACACAUGCAAGUCGAACGAGGUGUAGCAAUACACCUAGUGGCGGACGGGUGAGGAACACAUAGGAAUCUACCUUUUAGUGGGGGAUAACCCGGGGAAACUCGGAUUAAUACCGCAUACGAUCUACGGAUGAAAGUGGGGGACCGCAAGGCCUCACGCUGUUAGAUGAGCCUAUGUCCGAUUAGCUAGUUGGUAGGGUAAUGGCCUACCAAGGCGACGAUCGGUAGCUGGUUUGAGAGAACGAUCAGCCACACUGGAACUGAGACACGGUCCAGACUCCUACGGGAGGCAGCAGUGGGGAAUAUUGGACAAUGGGCGCAAGCCUGAUCCAGCAAUUCCGCGUGGGUGAAGAAGGCCUCGGUUGUAAG